ensembl:lncRNA
GGGGGGGGUAGGGUCGUCACGUCGACCUGGCCGCCUGUCUGCCCACUGAGUGCCUCUCUGCUGUGGACACUGAGCGAGCGCAAGGCCGUCUGACAUUCCACAGCAGCACCUCUUCCCAGGCAGCCGGCAGCAAGCAACCCCGAGCCCAGCCUGGUCCCCCCCCAGGCCCAUCAGCCCCCCUCUCUCUCUUUCUCUCUCUUUUCUUCCUCUUUCUCUCCGUACAGAACCACUGCGCAGGCGCUCCCCUCUUCUCUCUCUGUGUUCUUCUCCCCUCUCCCACCUCUUUACUGUCUCACAUGACGAUCACUUUAGCUGGAAGUUGAGACGGUCCGAUCUCUGGAAAUGCCAGUUUCUGUGUGUUAAGUUUUGUUUUGCUUUGUUCUGUUUUUUUUUUGUUUUUUUUUUUGUUUUCAAUGUGCAUUUGCUUUCACAUGAUUUUAUUAUUGUGUCCAUGCAGUGGUCUUUUUUAAAGGUAACUGCCUACAAUUACCUUCAAUGCUCAUAUGCAGAAACUCUCUUUAGAAGAGGUGCCUCUGUCUGUCUGCCCUGUGUAAUGAAUGCACAAUGCGGAUCAAUAUUACGGGCCAUAUUUGAUUGUUCCUUUCUUUUGAACCUUAAAUGGUCAUGCUUUUUUUUUUUUUAGCUGUGUUUUCAUAAAAUUUUUAGUAGUAUCUGAUGAUUGUCAAGUAGCCUCUCAGACUAAUGUGUCAGAAUGUUAAGUGAGUGAGUGAGGGUGUGUAUGUGUGUGUGUGUGUGUGUGUGUGUUAGACAUCUCCCUGACUCCCCCCGCCUACCCACUCCCUCAUGCAGCUGCUAUCAUCCUCCUCUACGUUUUCCGUUAGCCUUGCUCUUUGCUAGCCCGUGUCCCGCUAGCUCCUGGUCCUCCAAGCCUCACCAACAAGAGAAGACGUCCCUCGUUGUGAAUAGCCUGCUUCGGUCAGUGCCCUUUUCCGUUUGAAGCGACUCUCUUGGAGCCUCCCAGCCAGAGGCACAUAACAGACGCGGGUUUCUGUUUCUGUUUCUAUGCAAAGCCAAGGAGACUCAAGGGGGGCAAGGAGGGCAGGAGGGCGGGGGGGGGGGCGGAGGCGGCGACGGCAGCGUUUCAAUGGCAGCCCUUUACCACAACGUGCCAAUCAUGUCUGUGGAGGCCUCCUCUUGCCUCCAGCACGUGUGCAGCCACUCCUCUCCUCUCUGUUCAUGUCUCACUCGUACCCCCUGCUGCUCCCCCCCCCCCCCCCCCCCUCCCCUGUCGUCCCGCUCUUAGCAUCGGAGGGGGAACCAUGGCGACGUGGUCCCAUGAUGCUCUCUUUCUUGCUCACUCCAAAUCAGGUGUUCCACAGGAAGGAUGUGUCACCGUUUACUCUGCUGAAAAAGAAAAAAAAAAGGAAAAGGAAAAAAAAAAACAACAAAAACAUCUCACAUCAGCUUUGAUCUCAGGGCAGGGCGGGGCAAACAACAGAAAUAUAUUUAGAAGCUAAAGUAUGUUUCUAGACUAAAGGCAUCGCGGGGAAUCUGUUUGGGGCACGGUGUCAUAGAGCUACCAUGUUUAGGAGUGGCAAGUCUUGUCUUGUCUUGUUGCUUGGGUCCUAUUAGAUGUUAUCUCUACAGGGCCUGCUGUAUCUAUCCACAGGAUUGGUGGGAUCUGUUGUCAAUCAAAAGAAAGGGACCCAUUCUUUCCACUCCUUUUGCUGCUGGGCUCACAAGAUGUCCACUUACUUUUCUUUGGUUUUCACUGACUCCACGUGCCAACACAAAGACCUAGAAAACUGAGACGACACCCCCCCCCCCCCCUUUUCCCCCCUUCUCCGCAACCAUUCUGGCUCUAGGCGGAUGGGUAGAAGGAUGCAUCCAAUGUCCUGUCCUGCUGCAAAGCACCUCUGUCACGCCUCUGGGGAGGCAUCAUGUCGGUGGGGAGUCGGGGGACCGACGGCGAGCAACAACCUCAUUCUGAUCAUUCGAGAUAAUCUCUUUUAUUUCCUGUCUUGAGAAAGACCCCAUUUUCAUUGAGCUUGAACUGUCAACUGAGAUGGGGGUGGGGGGGGGAGGGGUUAAAAAUUCUGCUAAGGUGCACAGUUGUUUGGGUAAUCCCUGGUACAUUUUUUGUUUUCUUUUGUUUUUAAAUACCAAAAAUGAAAUUGCAUUUUUUUAUGAAUUUUGACAAAAAAUAGUAAAUGAGUAAAAAAUGUAUAUGUUUAAAAAAAAAAAAAACCUGCACUUCAUACUGAAACGUCUCCUGUCUGUGAACCUGCCUCUCUGUCAACCAGAAGGGGUUCAGACCGGGGGUGCCUUUUUGUGGAUGCUGUAUUUGUCGUAUUCAUUUCUCCUGAAAAACAUUUAAACGAGACGUAAUAGGGCCCAGAGAAUUGUAACAUUUCCAUUCACCACGACUGGUCGGGUCCCGCUGUAUCGACAUUCUCUUCCCUCAGUACUCUGAUGGGAAAGAUACAUUUGAACAGGUACAAUUUUUUUAAGUCUUAACUAUAAGUGGGGUUAAAAGGCCUGCAUCUCAGAAGAAAAGUGUUUUUAAAAGAAAAACAAAAAUCACAAAUGCCUGUGUAUGAAACUGCCUUGUUUGAAACUGUCAUGUCCAGUUUUAACAGUGGACCUCAAAAAUGUCCCCAUUUAGUGUCCGUGUCCCCAAAAGCCAGGACUUAUCUGGUCACCUUACCAGCACUGGGAGAUGAUCCCUGCAGCUUAACUGUGACGUGAAGCGAAGCCGUGCAUCACAGAUGUGUAUGGAUUUCAAUCUAUGAAAUGUUCCCUUUUUAACUCAAAGCUGGAUUGAAUAAACAAUGUAAAAUGAGCAAUAUGUAUUUCUCCCCACAAAUAAAUGUUAUGAGGGAAAGCGUGGGGAAGGGAUUUUACUGAUACUUGAUGGAUCACGUGACUAUAUCGUUCCCCAUCUCAGAGGAAUAUGCACGUGCUGGUUUUUACAUAUACAGUACAUAAUUAGUUUGUGUAUGUGUACAUAUUUCAUUUUUUUUUUUGCCCAGGUCCCCCGUUUUCAUUCUUUCUUUCCCGAAGAGAUAAAGAUCAUAAACAUAUCAAAACAAAAAAAAAAAAUGAAAUAAAUGUUACAAUACUUGAAUCAAGAAGCGCCAAUAACAUAAUGUGAACACUUUUUUUGUGUGAGUGUGACUUCUGCACUUCUGAGGUAUUGAUGACAAGUUCAAAGUUCAGCAUUAGUUUAAAAUGUAAAACGAAAAAAGAAAAAAAAUGCAAAAAAAAAAAAAAACCAUCAUUAUACUGUGUGCUUGAAUGAUUGUGUGUGCGGGGUGUGCAUCCACACUCAAAUGACUGUGUUCACUGCGGGCUGAGGCCCAUCUUUAUUUUGUCAUCCAUUCAGUAUAUUGUAGUAUUGUGUCUGUUCUUUAUUAUUAUUUUUUUGUUUUGGCUUGUCAAAAACUAUAUUCUGAUGUUAUCUAACGUUGCACUGAGUGUCUUCUUCCCUCUCUCAGCUAAUCGUAGAGAACACGAGACUAAGUACUGGGGGGAGGCGAUGACAAUUCACGUGUUAAUGUUUACUCAAGGACUUAAUGAAAACAAGUUUUUUGUUCUAUCUGUAAAAUGUUUAACCUGUAAAAUGUUUAUCUACCUUAUAGUGGCUUUUAUUGUUGAAUAGCCCCUAACGAGGGUUAUCCAUUGAGUAUUGCACCAUUUUUGUUCAAAUUAUAAAACAUAAAAAUGUUUAAAAAGAACAAAAAAAGUUAAAAAAAUCAAUAAAAAAAUAUACAAAAAAAAAAAAAAAAAGACCUGAAAUGAUGAACUGUGGCCAUAGCUAGCUGUAGAGAGUCUAGAAAUCCCUAUGUUUAUGUCAUUGAUAUGUGGGCAGAGAUGUAGGCAAUGAGAGGUUCUGACCAACAGGACUCCGUUCAGUGGUGCCUCUGUUCUUGCAGAUGAUCGGGUUUUUUAUCGUAAAAAGCCACCUGUCGUUUACAAACAUUUCAUGUGUUUGAAGAUCACAAGAAAUAAAAUGAAUUUAUCAUGGGAAUGUUGAUUUACAAAAAUAAAUGUUUAAAGGACAAAGUUCAUCUUCCAUUUUAAAGAAAAAUGACAAAAAACUUUACAAAUUGAAGAUUUAUGCUACUUUCAGAACUCUGGGAUUGAUCAGUGUUUGUGUCGUACUUUUUUGCUUUGAAUUUGACUUUUGUUGAUGUAAACAGACUAUCUAAGCCUACGAUGUAUGUAUGUCUGUUUUCUUUUUUUUUUUGUAAUUUCAUUUAUGAUGUUUUUCUCUGUAAAAGCAACAUCAUUCUGUCACUAUCUUGCACACUCACAAUGGAUGUGGAUAUUUGUCUCAGGAAGGCCAGGGUUUCCAGAGUCCCAACUCCACUAUUUUAACAUUAAUUUUUACCAGAAAAAAUGGAAUUUUAGAAAAGUGGAAAAAAGAAAAAAUGAUACUAAAUGACAAAACCAACUCUAAGCACUGAAAGGUUAUGGAUUUUUGAAGAUGAACAUACCCUUUGUUUUUAAAAUCCGUAGCAGUUACACAUCUACCAAAUAAUAGACUUGUAAUGUCCUUUUUACUUUGUAAGUGGAGUGCUUUACUUUGAGAAGAAGAAUCUGUGUAGACAUUGCUUUCCAUUCAAACGCAGUUAUCAGUGAUUUUGAUUGUUGAAGAGGUGUAAGGACAUGCAGUUGUGCAUUUGAAACGUGCACUUUUUUUUUGUUUGUUUCUCUCGAAGGUCCUAUUAAAAAAAAAAAAAAUGGGGAUCAUUGUGCAUUACUCUCUCCUCUGCCAACUCUUCAGAUGGCAGAUAUUCAAUGAAAGAGAUUCUGUGGAACGUUUUUUGGAAGUUUCUGAGACAAGGUAGAGUAGGAGGCUAAGCUGGCUGUAAAGGAUCUUGAUCUAUGCACAAGUGGGAGAGGGAGGAAGUGUCCAGACCUGCUAUUUUUGGGGUGGGGGGUGGCUGUUUUGUUUUAUGAUGGGGAGGGGGGUAAUUUUAUUGUGCUCAAAUGUAGUAGCUUUUUUGUUUUGUUUUGUUUGUCUGUUCAUUUCCAUACUCCCCUCAGUAUCGUAUACAGAUAAGAGCUAUAGUGUCACCAUGUUUUAUUCUCUGAAGUCGUGAGCAUCUCCCUCUGCCAAACUGAGCACUGUGGGUUUUCUGGAAUAAUCCGUGAUUCUAGAGUCUGCUAACGAGGGAGAGGCAGUUUCUGGUAAAUGGAGUAAGGAGGCAGUUUGCUUUAUGCCUUUUUUUUUAGUUUGAGAAGAGAAUUCGAGGAACACGUCUGUACCCGAGAUUCAUAAAAAUACGUUGCUGGCUUUUAAAUGUUCUUAUUUUUUUGUUUCCUUUUUCUCCUCAUAGAAUGUGAUUGUCAAUGACUUGCACCGAAAUAUGUUUCCAUGUGCGGUGGAGAUUCUUUCGGCCUAUAUUAAUAAAUAAACUGCAAUUUUUCUCUUGGCUGUUGAAAUAUUGUGUGCUUUGUGUUUUUGCAUGAUCAAGAGGGACACUGCGGGAACACACAGAGGCUUUGGCCCAGUAUUGUUUCAUAAUAAACCUGAGACACCAUUCAUGAUCUAAACACUU